GAUGAACGCUGGCGGCGUGCCUAAUACAUGCAAGUAGAACGCUGAAGGAGGAGCUUGCUCUUCUGGAUGAGUUGCGAACGGGUGAGUAACGCGUAGGUAACCUGCCUGGUAGCGGGGGAUAACUAUUGGAAACGAUAGCUAAUACCGCAUGACAACAGUUAUUGCAUGAUAACUGUUUAAAAGGGGCAACUGCUCCACUACCAGAUGGACCUGCGUUGUAUUAGCUAGUUGGUGAGGUAACGGCUCACCAAGGCGACGAUACAUAGCCGACCUGAGAGGGCGAUCGGCCACACUGGGACUGAGACACGGCCCAGACUCCUACGGGAGGCAGCAGUAGGGAAUCUUCGGCAAUGGACGGAAGUCUGACCGAGCAACGCCGCGUGAGUGAAGAAGGUUUUCGGAUCGUAAAGCUCUGUUGUAAGAGAAGAACGAGUGUGAGAGUGGAAAGUUCACACUGUGACGGUAUCUUACCAGAAAGGGACGGCUAACUACGUG
rnacentral:rRNA from 1 species